rnacentral:rRNA from 5 species
AAACUUUCAACAACGGAUCUCUUGGUUCUGGCAUCGAUGAAGAACGCAGCGAAAUGCGAUAAGUAAUGUGAAUUGCAGAAUUCAGUGAACCAUCGAAUCUUUGAACGCACAUUGCGCCCGCCAGUAUUCUGGCGGGCAUGCCUGUUCGAGCGUCAUUU